rnacentral:rRNA from 1 species
AUGAAGUCGUCGUCUCAGAGCCACAGCCCCAGGACCCCGUCGCCGCGCGCUCGCGGCACCGCGGCGGCAGCCGCCGACCACGCGCGCUCCUCCUCGGAGCCAUGGGUUCUGGCAUGCGUGGACGACACGUGCGUCAACGACGUGGAGAGCUUCGCGCGCACCGUCGCCGCCGUAAAGUCCAAGCCCGGCCCUGACCUGCUCCCGAGCGUGCUGUUCCACUACGCCGCCAAGUGGCCGCCGGACGUGGCCACGUCCGCGUCCGGCCGCUUCCUGCCCCCGGAGAGCCCCACCGCCACGUGGCUCAAAAAGCGCCUGCUCCUGGAGACCCUCGUCGCCGCGCUCCCGCCGGACCCGCCCAACGGCGCGGCCGCCGACGACGGCAUCACGUGCGACUUCCUGCUGAAGCUGCUCCGGGCGGGGAGCAUGGUGGGCGCGGACGCGGCGCUGCUGCGGGAGCUGGAAUCCCGCGCGGCGCGGCGGCUGGACCAGGCGACGCUGGCGGCCGUGAUGAUGCCGGCGUUCGGGCACGCGCCGGGCGGGAGGGCGGCAAGGGCGCCGGCGGCGGGGCCGGGGCCAGGGUGGCGAGGGCUGGUGGACGCGUACCUGGCGGAGGCCGCGCUGGAGGCCGGGCUGCGGCCCGCCGAGCUCGAGGAGCUCGCCCACGCGCGCGCGGCCGACGCCGCCCUCUACCGCGCCGUCGACACCUACCUCAAGGUCUCCAUUUGCGACGACCUGCAAGGAUUAAAUGACCAGAAUCUGAUUCAUGAUGCACAUAUAUCCUUCCCUGAUAUUACCUACUUUGCUGCUAAAUAUUACACUAACCAUGACAUUUCUUCCUCUGUUAUGGCCGAAUUCCAGGGCAAUGACCCCAACGACGGGCGCAUGUCCAUGUCUUCCAUCGAUGGCCAGAUUGCAGACGAUGAAUUCACUGGUGGUGGCGGCGGCCGUGAUUGUGAGGAUCUCACCGGGUCCCUGGCCGGCCGACGGCGGCAGCGAGAGCUACAGAUCCUGGCACAACAAGCUCCGAACAAUCACCCGCACGCGACGAGAUUCGCGGCGCAUCAUCACCGAGAAAUCAUGGAGAGUCUGUUGCCGGCGACGAAGGCGGUGUACGAGUUCCUCAAGGCUGACUUGGCGGAGUCCCUCGACGUGCGGUUCAAGCGACAGGAUGAGGAGGCCUCCAAGUCGAUGCAAUCCAUCGUGGGCGAUCUGACGACGCGGAUCGACGAUCUCAAGAUGUCGAUCGGGGUCGACAUGGAUGAGAUCCGUGCUGGAAUGGAGCGACCGCCGACCGCCAACUCAUCGUCCCUGGGCAGCCGCCCGCAAGCCAGUCCAACCCAGAUGGGUGGCAGCGAUGGAGGUGGAGAGGGCAGCCGAUCAGCUCCACUAGUCAAGGGAAAGGAACACGCCCGUCCAUAUGUUCCCCCUCCAGCCAGAGUGCUAGUUCUAUGGAGUCUUAGCACAGUGACUCGUCGACUAUCUACAACAAGGCGCAUCCGGGCACCGGGAAAGAGGACCGCAAAGUCGAUGUGGAGGCUGAUCGACGCGCGGAAGCUGUCGGCGGAGGCGGCGGCGCACGCGGUCCAGAACGACCGGCUGCCGGUGUGCUCCGUGAUGCAGGUGCUCUUCUCGGAGCACGGCAAGCUCAACCGCCUCGCCGACCUGGGCGCCUCGUUCAGCGGCGCCAGGGUCCCCUGCAGCCCGGCGGCGGCGCUGGACCUCCACUCCGGCAGCGGCCGCUGCCCCUCCAAGCGCGAGGCCCUGGCGCAGCACCAGGAGAUGCGCCGCCUGCGCGAGGACGUCGCCAGGCUCCAGGUGCAGUGCAGCGCGCUGCAGGAGCACGUGGAGAGGCUGGGCUCGGAGAGGAGGCGCCGCGGCGGCGGGUUCAAGUGGAGCACGCUCUGGUUUGGCUGCGAAUAUGCAAGUAAAUCUACUGGUACGGCGGAUCAAGAACGAAAUGAAAUAUAG